AUUUAUUCAAUUUUUAUGAUUCUAUUGCAUUACUUAUACACAACUUUAUUCGUAAAUUUAUUUUUAUAAAGUUUAAUAGCUGAAGUCAAUAAAUUAUACAAGAUAGCUCGAUCUAUUUGCGAUAAUGACAAAGUGUAGGAGAUAAUUGAUGUAAUUUGUUACGUAGAAGGGAAUUGAGACAAGCGGUGGAGUGUAAAAGGGCUUCCUAAAAUUUAGCUUAUUUUUUUAUGGCUAAAUUACAUAAAAUCUUCUAGUCAAAAUUUGAUUUUUCACUUUUCCCUUUUGUCAUUUAAAAACCAACUGUGAUGACAAAAUGACCAUUUUGCCCCUCACCAUUUUUGGCAACAGGAGAGAAGACUGAGAGCAUCUUUUGCAUAAAAAAAUAUAUAAUAAUAUUUUAUUAACGGAACCCUAACGGAUCACUAACGGCAAGAGGUGAAGUGAACAUUUUUUAUUUUACAAGAGGGCAAAGUGUAGGUUUUUAAAUGACAGAAAAAGAAAGUGAAAAAUCGAGUUUUAACUGGAGGGUUUUCUGUAAUUUAGCCUAUUUUUUAUCCAAAAUGAUCUU
rnacentral:lncRNA from 1 species